GCUGCUGCUUGGCCGGCUGCUGCCGCCGCCCCGGGCAGUCUUUCCCUCUUGGGCCAAGGGGAGAGGAGCCCCGACGGGCGUCCUGCCUCGGGAAGCCGGCAUGUGCAUCCUCCGCACGGCCCCCGCACCUAAAGCGGCUUCUUCGGUGAGGACGGGACUUGCGAAGUUGUUGAAAUGAAUUGUCUCCUGGGCAGACAGAAGUCCUGCCCCGAGUCUUCUCCUGAGUCAGGCACCUGUGGAGAGCAAGGCUUCAGGAGAUGCUCUGCGGCAGCUGGAUUUCAUCCUGAAGGUGGCCCUUAGGGAGAAAGCCUCUUCUGGUGUUAUUCCCUCCCCAAGAAUGAACAUAAAUGUUGGGAUCCCUCGGUAUCCAUGGCCUGCCGAUUGUGAUGGUGACGUUCUGUCCCUGUGAUUUGAUGCACUUCGGUGAUGGUAAUUUGAAGUAAGCACCACCAGCUGAAUGAGUAUAGAAAAGGAUCUCAAACAGGUGGGAAUGGGAAAGGCAGCAGCAUCUUCAGGCAGGUUGCCAGUGAUACAAAAGAGUGAAUGCUUUCACCUGGGGCAGAGAUACUGGGAGACAAAAAGGAGUGAUAUCAGAAAGCUUCCAAGAAAGUUAAUGUAACAGAAAAGGACACUCGGAACUACAAUUUUGAAACCAAGGUUUCUUUAAGUUUUCCCAUUAACAUGAUUAAUUUUCCUCGUACUACAAACUUGGAAAGCUCAUAGAAGACAGUUUAGAAAACACUCAGAAAUUUCUCAGGUCAUGAAAAGCAUGUGUUUUAUUUACCCCCCCAUACACUACAACAUCAAUAGAGCACCUCUGUCCUGUAGAUUUCAAACUUGCCUUGCAGAGACCUAGUCCAAGAAUAUAAUUUUGCAAGUGGGAACAACUCUUGCCUUACAGGACACUUUGUAAAUGGGCUGUCAAGUUAUAGUAUUUACUGUUUCAUUUGAAGGAUGAGUAAAUGGCAGUAGAAGUACACAGUGGGGAGAGUUUUUUAAUCAGUGGCAAUGAUCUGGGUUUGAGCUUAAAAGUUCGUAAUGGACCAUGAUCACUAUUUCAACUUGUCCUCCAGAAAAUUGUCCAGUAAAAUUCACAAUGAACCUCUCACCUGUUGCAGAGUGGGCUGAAACAGGAAUGUUUGGACUCUGUUAGAAAUACCUUUCUUGACUGAAAGAUUUAAAAAUCAAAACCUUCCAGCCAGCACAAGUUAAUUUCUACUUUUGCCACUGUGCAGGAUUUAAUAGCAUGAGAAAUGACAGUAGCGUUCUCAGCUCCUAUUUUCCAGAGUGAAAAUUUGCUUUUCUUUCCAUCUGCUGUUAUUUAGACACACAGCUUUUAUGUCCUUACUUAGGAAUUAAUAAUGCCUUUUUUUAUCCAUCAGCAAGAUUCUGGAUGAAAGGAAGUGAUUAACCUUCAGCAAGCCUGUCCCACAGAACUAAAAUGUUGGCUCACACAGAGCAAAGGCCUUUUCUGCUGUGUGUUCUUGCAUGCUGGUGAGGAAGCUGGAAGGAGACACAGCUGGGACAGGUGACCCAAACUGACCAAAGGGAUUUCCAGGCCAUGCAACUUCAGGCUCAGGACAUAAAGUGGGGCGAAGAAGGAGGAAAGCUGGGACAUUUGGAGUGAUGAUGUUCAUCUGCCUAGGUCUGUCAGGUUUGAAGAUAGAGAUCAGAAAACGAUGGACCAAGAAGGAUGUGGUGGAAAGGGUACCAGUUGAAUGACAGAACAGACCUGUGUCUCUGAAGAAACAAGAAGGAUGAGGAAGGAUGCUGCAAAAACAGCUACAAAUGUUGCAGAGGAGGAGCAGAGCACAUGAAGGUCUCCAGCCAUCCUGCAGGAGUGAGGGAUUGGUGCAAACCAAGCCUUGAGAACAGGCUCAGAAGGGCCAGACCUGUUCCACUACCCACACUCAUUUCCCCUGCAUUCUGCCUGGAGCAGAGAUAAUGCAGGCCACUUGGGGCAGCUCCAUUUGAGUGGGGAUGUGCCUUACUACAUUCCAGAGACAGCAGGUUUGGAGGGUGCAGAGAGUAUUUACGCAAUGUGUUUACUAUUGCUGACCCUUCAGAGCCCAUCACCACCCAUUCCCUGGUUGAGGCUCCAUCUCUGCAUCCAGCAUCAGGUACCCUCCAUCCUCUAUUGAGGGAUUUACAGUCAAUAAAGAGGGCCACAUGGCAGGUUCUUUUUUUGCUCUGUGGGUUGUGGUGAAAUACUGUCCAAAGCAUGUACAAAACUGUUUAAAUCACUUCCACCAAAGAAAACAGUUUUCAUUGGUAUGGUGGUAGGAAAGACAUGGUAACAGAAUUUUGGUAACUUUUUACUCCUUCCUCCAAAGUGCAAGUUGUUCCUCAGGCUCUGAUGGCAUUUUGGGGCCCCAGGGUGUGGGGGCACUGUCUCUUUAGCUGGCCCAUUCCCAGAAGCCCUGCUACAGCAGGACAGCUGUCAGAGGGACAGGAGAAGGACACUGCUGCAGGAGAAGCCAGCGUCCUUCCCGCUUCCCUGACUGCCACCCCACAAGCAGAUGGGCACAACUCAUCAGUGUCACCCUGACACAGGGCAAAGACCCUUGGGGCUUCCAGUUGAUUCCAAAUGCCCUCCUCCCAAGACUAACUUUCAUUUUCCAUCCAGGAAGCAAUGUCCAGCUGAAGCAAUGGAAUGUGGGCAUCAGAGACUCCUUGUCUAGACAGAGAGUUUAUCCCAGGCACAGUCACCGGGCUUGGACACACCCUCAACCCUUCUCCCUGUGGAAAGUGAGCACAGGCCAAGCUGGAACCCUCCUCUGCUGCUGUCAUGGUGUCUGGAAAGGAGCAACCAGCCAUUGGUGUGUUUUGAGUCUUACCUUGUGCUUUGACAGGCAGCUGCCGUGUGGCAGGAUGAGAAAUUAAUUAGCCUCAUGCUGCUGCAAGCAUUUCCAGUCCCAGCUGACAACAGACUAAUUAAGAACCUCCCUGUGGUGUCUAUUUUAGAUAACCAUUUACUUUGAUACAAUUUAACAAGGGCUUUUCUAAUGGUUUAUUUCACAGGCAACUCAUUAGAUUAAUGUGUGGCAAACAGCAGGAUCUUGAAUAGACAUUUUGAAUUCCCAGCUACCAAAAGUCAAUACAAUUUUGCCAAAGAGUGCACUAAUUUUAUCGAGGCAAAACAUAUGCUUCCUUCUGAUAUUUUGUGUCAUGUCAUUUGUUUCCAUAUGUCACCUUAACCUAAGUCCAGAAGUUUUGAAAACUGAAGGUGACCUUGUAAGCGCAGGUUCUUAGGAGCCAAUUAAUGCUCCUGAAUGAGAUUUCCCAUCAGAGUCAUUUGUGGUGCUUGCAGACUGAGCACCAGGGCUGCUAAGUGCACCACAGUGUCAGUGCUGUCUGCUUCUCAAUGAGGACUGAGGAACCAAACUUCCUGCCAGCCCAACAAUCCCUGCAUCCAUGACUAUGGAAAAUGCUGAUACAUGUACAAAUCCAAGGUUUUCACAGGAUCUCCCACAAAGCCUAACAGAAUCAGAAAAGGGCCCUAAAUCCUUGAAAUGGCAGGAAGGAGUAUCCAUCCUUUCUACCUUAACAUUCAAAUGUUAAGCUUGACCCUACCUGCUGACCCUACCUAACUGCACCACCACAGUUUGUCUUUAGGAGCCUACAGGAGUGCCAGAUGUAGCCUGGACUAAAGUAGGGACAUGGGUGGAAAAUUAAUCCAGAGGCAGCUUGUUUUUCUCUGCACAAUCUGUCCUAAUGGGAAAACAUGCAGGAGGAUUUUACUUUCCCUUUCUGUCUCUGCACUGCCUCAUGUUCACAAGUUAUAAUUGUGAGGGUGAAGCAUUUGACUCCAAAUUAAGAGGGGAUGACAGCAAAGGCGGCAGGUUGGGCCUUACAUUGCAUAUGAUUGCACAGCUUGGAAGGAGGACUAGGGCUCUGGGUGGAGAAAGAGAGCAAAGAACGAGAGCUGAAAGGGCUUGCUGGGGGAGUAGGGUGGUGCCACAGCAGCAACUAAAUACUCUGGGUGAUUUUCAGCAGGACGAAGUUCUCCACAUGACUGAGAUCAGGUUUUUCGUUGUCGCUAGAAUUAAUUGGCACAGUCUCUUUGAAAUGAAUCUUCGAACAUCUGAUGUGUUUUCUUUUUCCCUGGGGAUACUAACUAACAGUUCCCUGCUUUCAAACACCAUCGGAAACUUAGGUUAAAGCCUCAGAGAUUAAUUUUACUUCCAAGUGUGGUUGAAAUUGGCUUGUGGAUUUGGAUACAUAAUUUCAUUGGAUAAAUUGCCAAAACUGGGACUGCCCCCCUACAAGUCAUUUGCUCAGAGCCACCUGCUCAGAGAUACGCAAAUCAUCAAUGUUUGUUGAUGAAGAAGAGUGUUUCCGUGCUUUUCUUUCUAAAAUGCCAUCCCAAACUAAAAUCUCUAUAUUCUUGUCUAGAAUAACACAUAGGAAGUGAAAACUAGAAACAUUAGUGAGGUUAUCAGUUUGCAUUUCUUAGCACCUUAUUGUUUGUAAUUCUUGCCUCACUCUCCCUCGCUCCCAGAAAUUCUGUGUGACCAGAAUUUGGAACACUUCCCCUGUUUCAUGGCAACAGAGCUAUGCUGUAGAGGCUCCACAAAGCCACACACAUUAUGAUUUUUAUCCCUUGUUGCAGUCUGGUUCAGUGUAAACACUUCCUUCCCAGUCCUGUCUGAGCCUUUUUGGAUGCAAGCAGCUACAGCAAAUACCAAGUGUGACUUCAUUUGCUGUAGCUAUCUGCCCUCUGCCUCCUGAUCCUUCGGGCUGUGGCUGCUUUCCCCCUUGGCUGCAUGCUGGGAGGCUGGUAACCCACUUCCCGAGGCUGAAGGCCCCGUGGAACAGAGGGUGGCUGCAGCACCCAACAGCUCUGCUGAAGCUGAGUGCUGACAGCCAGAAGGCAGUGAGGACUGAAUGCAGUUGCCUCUGAAAUGCACCCUGUGCACUUCCCCCAGCAGAUUCCUCUGCCGCAGCCAUGUGACAAAAUGUGCUCUUGACUCGCUCCUCACAGGUAAAUACUGGCUCAGUGCUAUCAGCUUGUGUUUCUUCCUGCCAGGAGCCUCCAAGGGCGCUAUUAAGCGGAGGGUUCUAAAGCUUUUUUUCCUGAGGUGUCCGAUUUUCGGCUGUUUGGAUGGCCUGGAAAGGCCUGGGGUGGCCUUGG